rnacentral:rRNA from 1 species
GAUGAACGCUAGCGGCAGGCCUAAUACAUGCAAGUCGAACGGUGUAGCAAUACACAGUGGCGCACGGGUGCGUAACACGUAUGCAACCUACCUUACAUUGGGGGAUAGCCUUUCGAAAGGGAGAUUAAUACCGCAUAAGACAGUAGCUGGGCAUCCAGCAGCUGUUAAAGAUUUAUCGAUGUAAGCUGGGCAUGCGUCCAAUUAGCUAGUUGGUGAGGUAACGGCUCACCAAGGCAAUGAUUGGUAGGGGAACUGAGAGGUCAAUCCCCCACACUGGCACUGAGAUACGGGCCAGACUCCUACGGGAGGCAGCAGUAGGGAAUAUUGGGCAAUGGACGCAAGUCUGACCCAGCCAUGCCGCGUGCAGGAUGAAGGCGUUAUGCGUUGUAAACUGCUUUUAUACAGGAAGAAACGACUCUUGCGAGAGGCAUUGACGGUACUGUAUGAAUAAGCACCGGCUAACUCCGUGCCAGCAGCCGCAGUAACAC